rnacentral:rRNA from 1 species
GGAGGCAGCAGUGGGGAAUUUUGGACAAUGGGCGAAAGCCUGAUCCAGCCAUUCCGCGUGCAGGAUGAAGGCCUUCGGGUUGUAAACUGCUUUUGUACGGAGCGAAACGGUCCUUUCUAAUACAAGGGGCUAAUGACGGUACCGUAAGAAUAAGCACCGGCUAACUACGUGCCAGUAGCCGCGGUAAUACGUAGGGUGCAAGCGUUAAUCGGAAUUACUGGGCGUAAAGCGUGCGCAGGCGGUUAUAUAAGACGGAUGUGAAAUCCCCGGGCUCAACCUGGGAGCUGCAUUUGUGACUGUAUAGCUAGAGUACGGCAGAGGGGGAUGGAAUUCCGCGUGUAGCAGUGAAAUGCGUAGAUAUGCGGAGGAACACCGAUGGCGAAGGCAAUCCCCUGGGCCUGUACUGACGCUCAUGCACGAAAGCGUGGGGAGCAAACAGGAUUAGAUACCCCUGUAGUCCU